rnacentral:rRNA from 1 species
UACAGAGGGUGCGAGCGUUGUUCGGAAUUAUUGGGCGUAAAGGGCGCGUAGGCGGUGCGGUAAGUCACCUGUGAAAUCUCCUGGCUCAACUGGGAGCUUGCAGGCGAAACUGCCGUGCUGGAGUGUGGGAGAGGUGCGUGGAAUUCCUGGUGUAGCGGUGAAAUGCGCAGAUAUCAGGAGGAACACCGGUGGCGAAGGCGGGUCUCUGGGCAACAACUGACGCUGAGGAGCGAAAGCGUGGGGAGCGAACAGG